ACGACUACCCCCUCCCCCAACAUAUGUAAUAAAAAAAAAAAGACAUAAAAAUGCUAGAAUAAUUUAAGUUCAAGCAUAGGCUUGAGUCAUACAAUCAUCAAAAGUUGAUGGUUCGUUGCUCAGAAAUUUAUUCAAUGCUUUAGAAGUAGUGCAUGUGAUACUCAUUUUUUCUUUGCAAUAAACAGGCCCCAUCGCUGCUCACCGGAUGAGCUCCUAAUCAACUUUGCCUUCCAUCCACCAACUAUAUCAUCAUAGUCCUCUUCAGAAAAGUCUUGGAUGAAUUCAUCCUUCUCCUUCUCGACAGCAUUUAAUUCCCGUUGCAGAACUUGAUUAAACUGAUCAGUUCUGUCCUCUGCAAUCACAUCAUCAAAACCAGCAUCCCUAAGCAUCUGCCCAUAUGCUUUUACAUCAUGAAGAUCAUAUCCUCUCUGCUUAAUAUACUCUGAAAAUUCUGGCGAUGGAGUUCCAGCAUUCUUGCAAUAAUCACUUAUAAGAACUUUACCUCCAGGCUUCAACCACUUGAAGAAUGAUCUAAACAAUGCAGGUUUGUCUUGAAUGUGCAGAAUGGUGUCACGGCUGUAGAUAACAUCAAAUGUGUUAUCAGGAUAUGUCUUCUUUGUGCAAUCAGCAACUUCAAACUCAACAUUGCAUUUGAGUCCAAUGGCAGAUUCAAGAGCAAUAGAUAUCAUAUUAAUUGAGAGGUCAAUGCCAACAACUUCCACAUCAAAGUUCUCAGCCAUGUAAAAGUCACCUCCUCCAAUACCACAUCCAACAUCUAGGACUUUCUGGCCAGGCUUAAGAUCCAGC
rnacentral:misc_RNA from 1 species